rnacentral:rRNA from 1 species
GACGAACGCUGGCGGCGUGCUUAACACAUGCAAGUCGAACGAUGAAGCGGUGCUUGCACCGUGGAUUAGUGGCGAACGGGUGAGUAACACGUGAGUAACCUGCCCUUCACUCUGGGAUAACUCCGGGAAACCGGGGCUAAUACUGGAUAUGACCCUCCCUCGCAUGGGGUGGGGGUGGAAAGCUUUUGUGGUGGAGGAUGGACUCGCGGCCUAUCAGCUUGUUGGUGAGGUAGUGGCUCACCAAGGCGACGACGGGUAGCCGGCCUGAGAGGGCGACCGGCCACACUGGGACUGAGACACGGCCCAGACUCCUACGGGAGGCAGCAGUGGGGAAUAUUGCACAAUGGGCGGAAGCCUGAUGCAGCGACGCCGCGUGGGGGAUGAAGGCCUUCGGGUUGUAAACCCCUUUCAGCUCUGAAGAAGCGAAAGUGACGGUAGGAGCAGAAGAAGCACCGGCUAACUACGU